AUAAAAUUGCAUGACGCAACAGAAAAGUAAGGACAAUUUUCAUUGGUUAGAAAUAACGAAAGUAGCCGGAGCGGUCGUAAUGCACACAUUGACACAACUUCGCAAGCAUGAAAUUGGCGAAUUCAACCUAAAGUCAAAAUUAUAGGUACGCAUGAUCGAUGUAACUUCCUUGAUGGUGUGUUGGCUGUUUGCCCAUGUGUAUUUCGGGGUAUAGGAGUAGCCUCCCCUUUUAAAGAUCCAAAAUGGUGAUUUUACAGUGCGGCAUGCAGUCUGUCAUCAACGAAGAGUUUUGACACCUGUAAUACCCAUAUUUCUACCAUUCACCUCUGUAACCUUUGUUGAGUUCAUCAGACUGUCCAAGACAGGAAGUUGAGGAAUAAAGUUGACAGGACAUCCUGAACUGUCCUCGCUACCAGCUUAUGAGGGAACCAGCUGCAGUGGACAAAGUACGUUACAUCAUAGAAUAAUAGCAUUGAAUUGGAUUCUUGAACCAGAGCCAUGUGAACCUGGUCCACCUGUACCUCUCAUUGAAGACCUGUUAACAUCACCAGAGUAUGUUCAUUCUGAUACCCCUAUGGUAUGGUUACAGCAUGCAUUAUCCCUGAAUCCAUUAAAAGAGCUGCAUUGGCAACGAAACAACCCAAUGUGGUCGAUUGUAAGGAAAUAUAGCAUAUCAGCUUCCAACUUUGGUCAGUUCUCAGUUCUAAGCAAAGGCGAUUGACAUUGUCACUGAAGAAACAGCUGAUGUCGGCUUACAAUCUGGAGUCCAUCAAGGCUGUUGCAUGGGGUAUCACUCAUGAAGAUGAUGCUUUGAGAAAGUAUGAAAAGGACUUAGAUGCAGCUGUAGAGCAGUCAGGAUAUGGUUGCAUGAAUCCGGAGUGUUGGGAGCUUCACCUGAUGGCUUAGUUGUUCGACCACCAACAUGCAGUGUAUUUUAUCAAACUCCAGAAGCCAAAGACGCCAUUCCUAAUAUUGUAGAGGUGAAGUGUCCAUAUACAGCAUCGUCUUCAACAGUAGCAGAUGGGGCACAAAAUUUGAAGGAUUUUUCAUAGAUCUUAAACAAGAUACCCUGUGCCUGAAAACCAGUCACCCAUACUAUCAUCAAAUUCAAGGCCAGCUACACAUAUGCAACAAAACAUUCUGCGACUUAAUUGUGUGGACAAGAGUAGACUGCAUUGUGAUUAGAAUAGUAAAAGACAUUAAAUGGACAGCAAAUGUUCCAAAGCUGAUAGAUUUCUACAUUAACAUUUUCAUUCCAGCACUGAUGGAAAACUGAGUUCUGGUUUGAACUUCUUGACACUUAGUUUUGUACCUCUAGAAUUUUCUAACAAUGGAAAAUGGGUAAUCAUGUUAAAUGUGUUGAAUGUUCGCAAGUCUCAUAAAUGUAUGAUAUGAUAUGUCACAAUCCAUCAUAAAACUUCUGGCUUAUAAGACUAUUUUAAAUAGCAAUGAUGAUUAAUAAAAUCUAUGUACUACAUAAAAAAAGAAUAUCAAAAUUUAGAAUCAUUUUAUUAAUGAAUUGAAGAUGUUAUUCUCAAAGUGAAAAUGUAACAUUUUGGUCUUUCUUAAUAGAUAAAUUGUUGAAAACAUGAA